rnacentral:tRNA from 2 species
GCCGAAGUGGUGGAAUUGGUAGACACGCUAGGUUCAGGGUCUAGUUCUGGCAACGGAGUGGGAGUUCGACUCUCCCCUUCGGCACCA